rnacentral:rRNA from 1 species
AUGAAGAAUCUGAAGGAUUCAAAGACUAAGAUAUUUCCCUCAAAGACGAGGGGAGGUAAGGAACCACCAUCCAGUUCUGCUUUAGAUUCACCUUCUGUUUUGAGUAAACUUACACCACCACCACAUGCUAUCAAUUCUAAUAUGUCGCAAGUUAUUGAUGAUGCUACUUCUACUAUGAAUGAUGCUUAUGAUGAUGCUAGUACCUUGCUUGAUAAUGAUGAUGUGCCACUUGGUGAUUUUCUUGAUGAACAAAUUGCUAGAGUAAUACAACAUGAUGUUGUUGAAUCUGAUGAUGAGCUUGAAACUGAAACUCCUGAAACACCUGCUAGAACUAGCCUUCCUAGAUAUGAAUUGCCUAAGGUACCGGAAGGUUAUGUUAUGAGUGAAGAAGCAACUAGAGAUAUUCUUGCUUGUAAGGAUAGAGAUGAUCUAGAGAAAUUACUAUGCAAGUAUAAAGAAAAAUUCUGA